GAUGAAGAACGUAGCGAAAUGCGAUAAGUAAUGUGAAUUGCAGAAUUCAGUGAAUCAUCGAAUCUUUGAACGCACAUUGCGCCCCUUGGUAUUCCGAGGGGCAUGCCUGUUCGAGCGUCAUUACACCACUCAAGCUAUGCUUGGUAUUGGGCGUCGUCCUUAGUUGGGCGCGCCUUAAAGACCUCGGCGAGGCCACUCCGGCUUUAGGCGUAGUAGAAUUUAUUCGAACGUCUGUCAAAGGAGAGGAACUCUGCCGACUGAAACCUUUAUUUUUCUAGGUUGACCUCGGAUCAGGUAGGGAUACCCGCUGAACUUAAGCAUAUCAAUAAGGGGAGGA
rnacentral:misc_RNA from 1 species